rnacentral:rRNA from 1 species
GAUGAACGCUGGCGGCGUGCCUAAUACAUGCAAGUCGAGCGAACGGACGAGAAGCUUGCUUUUCUGAUGUUAGCGGCGGACGGGUGAGUAACACGUGGAUCACCUACCUAUAAGACUGGGAUAACUUCGGGAAACCGGAGCUAAUACCGGAUAAUAUCUUGAACCGCAUGGUUCAAAAGUGAAAGACGGUCUUGCUGUCACUUAUAGAUGGAUCCGCGCUGCAUUAGCUAGUUGGUAAGGUAACGGCUUACCAAGGCAACGAUGCGUAGCCGACCUGAGAGGGUGAUCGGCCACACUGGAACUGAGACACGGUCCAGACUCCUGCGGGAGGCAGCAGUAGGGAAUCUUCCGCAAUGGGCGAAAGCCUGACGGAGCAACGCCGCGUGAGUGAUGAAGGUCUUCGGAUCGUAAAACCCUGUUAUUAGGGAAGAACAGAUGUGUAAGGAACUGUGCACAUCUUGACGGUACCUAAUCAGAAAGCCACGGCUAACUACGUG